CCCGGCGCUGCUGAAAACGUCCUAGAAUCCCACCUGACUGGAGGUUGCUUUCCACGCUUAGUCAGAAGUUCUGUGUAACCUUAGUUGAAAUAAUCCACAUGUAAAUCUUUGUCUACGGGAGAAAGCUGGAAAAGAGAGCAGCUGGAACACUUGUGGAAGGACAUGGGCAGCGUGUGUGUGCAGGGCAGCACACUGGCAGGUACCUCCCCAGGAAGAUAAAGUUUACUGCAGAAGUUUUCUGAAGAGUUUGCCUUGUGAAGUAGUACAGUGCUUCUUUGUCCUCACGGCAGAAGUGUGAAAGCAGCUCCAUGUUAGAGGAGCGGGGCUUUAGUUCCUGUGGGAUUGGUCACACUUAGCUCUUCCUGUGUCAGUCACAGGUUUGGAAGAAACCCCGCUGUGUAGCUAAAGCAGUGCACCUACCAGAAAUAAUGACAUACUUUAGAAAAGGUGAAACAGUCAGAUCAGAAUAUGAGAAAGCUCUGCUGUUGGCUGCACUGUUCCUUAGAUGAGGCGAGUAGGUGCGGAUGGAGUCUGUCCUGUGUCUGGGAUCCACAAGCAGCUUUCUGUCCCCUUAGAGCAGGUGUUCAUUGCUGGGUUUCUGUGCAGAUAGAAACCUUACCUUUAGCAAGCUGGUUUGUGUACAGCUGUUUCUGUUCCCUUCAAGGACCUGAUGCUUCUGCAGUGGGUCCCUCUGAGCUCAUACUAACACGAGGAACUCUCGAUGAAGAGCAAGAAGAGAGGGAGAGUGACACUGAUGACAUUGACCAUGAAGGUAAGGGAAUGAGGUCUAAAAGCUGCCUCUCAAGAAAUCCCCUCUAUAUUUCAUGACCUGGAUGGACUGUAAGGAGAGCCUAGAAAACAAGCAAACAUUCAGUCACCUGACGUGUCAGAAUCUGUAGCAGAAGCUCAGCUGCAAUGGUCAGUGCAGGGAUAUCACUCUGUAACCUUUGUGAAAGUUCAAUUGUAAAUUUUCUAUUCAAGUAAUUAAUAGGUGUAUAACACACAUAAAACAGAGAACUCGUUAGGCUUGGGGCAUGCAGUGACCUCUGAACCUGAUUGAUGCACAGAUGUGUCCAUCAUCUUUUUGGCCUUACAGUUUCUGCCCCUGGCUCUCUUCCCUUUUCCUGUGACUGUGGUCUUGGAGCAAUCUUCUAAGUUGUUACAGUGUGAUUUUUCUCUUCUAUAGCUCACAGACUUAAUCUUCAUUCUUUCCCUGUUCCACUGAUGGGUAGGAUCACUUAUUUCCUUUGCCCUGUAAUGUAGUUGAAGAUGGAAUAGACUUUCUAUGUUGCUUUGGCUA